rnacentral:tRNA from 1 species
UCUCUGUAGCUCAGUUGGUUAGAGCGCUGCACCGGAAUCGCAGGGCCGUAGGUUCAAUUCCUAUGUAUAUAU